rnacentral:miRNA from 17 species
ACUCGCCGCCGCAUCCGCCAACGAGGAGGCCGGGACCACCGGAUCCGGUGACUCCGGCCUCCUCGCCGGCAGAUCCGGCCACUCUGA